rnacentral:rRNA from 1 species
GGCAAUGGGGGCAACCCUGACCGAGCAACGCCGCGUGAGUGAAGAAGGUUUUCGGAUCGUAAAGCUCUGUCGUAAGUCAAGAACGGGUGUGAGAGUGGAAAGUUCACACUGUGACGGUAGCUUACCAGAAAGGGACGGCUAACUACGUGCCAGCAGCCGCGGUAAUACGUAGGUCCCGAGCGUUGUCCGGAUUUAUUGGGCGUAAAGCGAGCGCAGGCGGUUUGAUAAGUCUGAAGUUAAAGGCUGUGGCUCAACCAUAGUUCGCUUUGGAAACUGUCAAACUUGAGUGCAGAAGGGGAGAGUGGAAUUCCAUGUGUAGCGGUGAAAUGCGUAGAUAUAUGGAGGAACACCGGUGGCGAAAGCGGCUCUCUGGUCUGUAACUGACGCUGAGGCUCGAAAGCGUGGGGAGCGAACAGGAUUAGAUACCCUGGUAGUCCACGCCGUAACGAUGAGUACUAGGUGUAAUCACUAGUGAAUUCGCGGCCGCCUGCAGGUCGACCAUAUGGGAGAGCUCCCAACGCGUUGGAUGCAUAGCUUGAGUAUUCUAUAGUGUCACCUAAAUAGCUUGGCGUAAUCAUGGUCAUA